CCCAUCAACAAGAGACAGAAGGAGAACUACCGAUGAAGUACCUCUCUAAGACUCAUAUUUCCCCAAAAGGGACUGCUAUUGUAAUUGCCCCCUGUAAACUGCCCUGUCCUGGGGAGUCUGAAGGCCUGCAAGCAGUCUCCAGUCUAAAAGAAAAGGAAAGAAAACCAAACAAAACACUUUCAUCUUCAGGUAGGCUCUAUCAGUAUGGAACCGGAGAGUCAUAUAAUGACAGCCUACGCGUUUUCACUUUAGGGAAGAAAGUGUUUUACAGCAUAAAAGAAAUUGCUGCAGUGACCCAGGGGAGCUGCCAAUGUUUCCUGGAUGAGGACAAUUAACCAAAACAAUAUCAUUAAUUUUGCCACAGGUUUUAAAUGAUCUAGAAAGCAGAAUACAAACUUUGUCUUAAUAGACUCAAGUUAGACUCUGCAACAGAAGGAAAUUUCAGUAAAAUUCUGCAGCAGCCAAGGCUGUGAAUGAGAAACCAACACACUUGCAGGAAUAGAUAUGCACGAAUCUUAACAAUGCAACUGAGCUUCUGUUAUCUGGGUUCAGAAGGGACUAGCCUAGACCAGCACUGCUAUGUGCUCCACCUGGUACAUGCAUCCACCUGGUGUCACAGCUUGAAUCCUGGAGAUCUGACAACAGUAAUCACCUGCACAGUGCCUUUACCUCCUACAAGGGUCUCCUGACAUACAGAUUUGCAUCACAACAGGCAUUUCCCUAAGUAAAUAUUAGCUCCACUUCACAGAUAAGGAAACAGAGGUCCAUGACUUAUUCCUGCUUAUACACCAGUCUCCAGGAAUGGCCCCUGCUGAAAUUUCAUUACCACCUAACUGUGCUUACAGUGAUUUUAGAAAUUAGCAGCUUUGUGAGCCCCUUAGCCUUGAAAGUUUGAAAUCCACGAGAAGACAGGAGCUAGAUAAAGAAGGCAGAACCAACAGGGAGAACUGGAAAAAUUCCCUGCGCUUUGGUUGACUCCAGGCAAUGCCUUGCUCAGCCCCGCUGCUCCAUAGGUACGGGCAGGGCUCUUCCUCAGGAGAACAGCCCUUGGCUACCUGUAGUGACAAGGCCUGUAGCAUUCAGGCUGGCAGCACUCCAGCCUGUGCGAUAGAGGCUGUGGUAUACACAGAUCCUAGCUAGUUAUAAUUGCAGUGCUUUAGUCAAAUACUUGUGCCAGGGUAUUGUUUCCUGUCAGUGCCGUUUGCCAGAGGAGCAUGAGGUUGUGAAGGAUGCAUUAACUCCACCUGAGAGCAUGCCAGACAGCUGAAGAGCCACAGCAACAAGAUACCACUUUCUAAGAGAUUUUUUUUUAUUUUUUUUUUAAUUUUUAAUUUUUUGUCAGGAGUGGUUCUUCUUUCUCUUUUAACUAGAUGUCAGGGACCAAUUAAAGUAAUGAGCCUCACAAAGUAUCUCCCUUGGCUAACAACAGCCUGUAUUAAUGUUUGCAGAAGUGCAGGGCCAUAAGCUUUCUUGUUAGAUGUUAGCACUUAGCAACAUGAUUCAACAUUCUGAGAACUUCUCCAUCUAUUAGACUAGUGCCUUUGUCAAGUAUAACUCACCCACCUGUAUCCCAUGUUUGGGAUACAAUCCCCCUGAUUGUAUCCCACUGCUCCGGGAUGUGAGCACCCAAGCAGUACAGCUGUUACUGCCCAAGGCCCCAUUUCUGAUAGAAGAGCCAUGGAAUCACAACCAGGCAGUUUCUCUUACAUGAACAGAGCCUAAUUUGCAAUCAUCUCAUUUUAAUGUUUUUGUUUGCACUUUAGACAUAUGUGAUUUUUUUUUUUCCAAUGGAGGGGGGGGGUUAAGAUAAUAGCAUCCCUUCAAGUUUGAUCUCUCUCAACCUGCUAAAUCAGUUUUAGAAAGGAA